rnacentral:rRNA from 1 species
CCUACGGGGUGCAGCAGUGGGGAAUAUUGGACAAUGGGCGAAAGCCUGAUCCAGCCAUGCCGCGUGUGUGAAGAAGGCCUUCGGGUUGUAAAGCACUUUCAGUGGGGAAGAAAGCCUUGGGGCUAAUACCCUCGAGGAAGGACAUCACCCACAGAAGAAGCACCGGCUAACUCCGUGCCAGCAGCCGCGGUAAUACGGAGGGUGCGAGCGUUAAUCGGAAUUACUGGGCGUAAAGCGCGCGUAGGCGGUCUGAUAAGCCGGUUGUGAAAGCCCCGGGCUCAACCUGGGAACGGCAUCCGGAACUGUCGGGCUAGAGUGCAGGAGAGGAAGGUAGAAUUCCCGGUGUAGCGGUGAAAUGCGUAGAGAUCGGGAGGAAUACCAGUGGCGAAGGCGGCCUUCUGGACUGACACUGACGCUGAGGUGCGAAAGCGUGGGUAGCAAACAGGAUUAGAUACCCGUGUAGUC